rnacentral:rRNA from 1 species
AAUUUUCGACAAUGGGGGAAACCCUGAUCCAGCCAUCCUGCGUGUAUGAUGAAGGCCUUCGGGUUGUAAAGUACUUUUGGCAGAGAAGAAAAGGUAUCUCUUAAUACGAGAUACUGCUGACGGUAUCUGCUGAAUAAGCAUCGGCUAACUACGUGCAAGCAGCCGCGGUAAUACGUAGGGUUCAAGCGUGAAUCGGAGUUACUGGGCGUAAAGCGUGUGUAGGCGGUUCGUAAAGAAAGAUGUGAAAUCCCAGGGCUCAACCUUGGAACUGCAUUGUUAACUACCGAGCUCGAGUAUGUCAGAGGGGGGUAGAAUUACACGUGUAGCAGUGAAAUGCGUAGUUAUGUGGAGGAAUACCGAUGGCGAAGGCAGCAGCCUGGGAUAAUACUGACGCUCAGACACGAAAGCGUGGGGAGCAAACAGG